rnacentral:lncRNA from 10 species
CCCCCAACACACACACACACACACACACACACACACACGUUUGCCAAAACCUGGUUUAAAUCAGUAAAUUAUCCUGGAAAAAAAAAAAAAAACACCUGGCUAAUAUCAGAGAGAUAAAUGCUAUGAAUGUACUAAAACAGGAUGAUUUGUAAUAGAUUUGGAGGGAGGUUCCUUAUAAAGGAUGAUGAAAAUAGUUCUCUCUGAAGAGGUGACAUCUAAACUGAGAACCGAAUGACAACACCCAGGGUAAGGGUGUUUUAGGCAAAGGGAUUAUUAGCAAGGGCAAAGGCCCUGAGGCAGAAAUGAACAUGACACAUCUGAGAAACAAAUAGCCCAAAUAUUUGCAAGUGUAAUGAAUGAAGGGGCAAGCAGUAGAAAGUGGACUUAAAGGGGAGACAGGUGCGACAGCCUUUUGGAUUUCAUUCAAAGGUCAACAGGCAGCUGAGAAAGGGUUUUAAGCCAGAGAGAGGCAUGAACCCGCUGCUCCGUGAGAGUGGGUUAUAGAAUGGCAUCUGCAGCCGUGGUCCAGGAGAGAGUUGGUCCGGGCUUGGAUAGGGAUGCUGCCAGCUCUGGUGCCGGUGUUGCUACAGGUGCGCAGGAUGUCGGCAGAGCCAGAGGCCCACGCUAGCAAGGCUAGGAAAGACAGGCCAGGUCUUAUUCCAUCUCUAGGGAAAGACGGAAGAGCCCUAAGUAAAGCUUAUCUGUCCCAGGCGGAGCAGGGG